AGUGGCGGACGGGUGAGUAACGCGUGAGAAUCUGCCUUGGGGUCGGGGACAACCACUGGAAACGGUGGCUAAUACCGGAUAAGCCGAUUGGUGAAAGAUUUAUUGCCCGAAGAGGAGCUCGCGUCUGAUUAGCUAGUUGGUGAGGUAAAAGCUCACCAAGGCAGCGAUCAGUAGCUGGUCUGAGAGGACGAUCAGCCACACUGGGACUGAGACACGGCCCAGACUCCUACGGGAGGCAGCAGUGGGGAAUUUUCCGCAAUGGGCGAAAGCCUGACGGAGCAAGACCGCGUGAGGGAGGAAGGCUCUUGGGUUGUAAACCUCUUUUCUCAGGGAAGAAGCUCUGACGGUACCUGAGGAAUCAGCCUCGGCUAACUCCGUGCCAGCAGCCGCGGUAAUACGGAGGAGGCAAGCGUUAUCCGGAAUUAUUGGGCGUAAAGCGUCCGCAGGUGGCGAUUCAAGUCUGCUGUCAAAGCACGGGGCUUAACUCCGUAAAGGCAGUGGAAACUGAAUAGCUAGAGUGCCGUAGGGGUAGAGGGAAUUCCCGGUGUAGCGGUGAAAUGCGUAGAGAUCGGGAAGAACAUCGGUGGCGAAAGCGCUCUACUGGACGGCAACUGACACUCAGGGACGAAAGCUAGGGGAGCGAAUGGGAUUAGAUACCCC
rnacentral:rRNA from 1 species